rnacentral:sRNA from 1 species
CAUGAAAUCUGCGGCCGCCACACUUGA